rnacentral:rRNA from 1 species
CCUACGUGAGGCAGCAGUGAGGAAUAUUGGUCAAUGGGCGCGAGCCUGAACCAGCCAAGUAGCGUGAAGGAUGACUGCCCUACGGGUUGUAAACUUCUUUUAUAAAGGAAUAAAGUGAGGCACGUGUGCCUUUUUGUAUGUACUUUAUGAAUAAGGAUCGGCUAACUCCGUGCCAGCAGCCGCGGUAAUACGGAGGAUCCGAGGGUUAUCCGGAUUUAUUGGGUUUAAAGGGAGCGUGGAUGGGUUGUUAAGUCAGUUGUGAAAGUUUGCGGCUCAACCGUAAAAUUGCAAUUGAUAAUGGCAGUCUUGAGUACAGUUGAGGUAGGCGGAAUUCGUGGUGUAGCGGUGAAAUGCUUAGAUAUCACGAAGAACUCCGAUUGCGAAGGCAGCUUACUAAACUGCCACUGACAUUGAUGCUCGAAAGUGUGGGUAUCAAACAGGAUUAGAUACCCGAGUAGUC